UGGGGAAUUUUGGACAAUGGGCGAAAGCCUGAUCCAGCAAUGCCGCGUGUGUGAAGAAGGCCUUCGGGUUGUAAAGCACUUUUGUCCGGAAAGAAAUCCUUGGCUCUAAUACAGUCGGGGGAUGACGGUACCGGAAGAAUAAGCACCGGCUAACUACGUGCCAGCAGCCGCGGUAAUACGUAGGGUGCAAGCGUUAAUCGGAAUUACUGGGCGUAAAGCGUGCGCAGGCGGUUUUGCUAAGACCGAUGUGAAAUCCCCGGGCUCAACCUGGGAACUGCAUUUGGUGACUGGCAGGCUAGAGUAUGGCAGAGGGGGGUAGAAUUCCACGUGUAGCAGUGAAAUGCGUAGAGAUGUGGAGGAAUACCGAUGGCG
rnacentral:rRNA from 1 species